rnacentral:rRNA from 1 species
UACGUAGGGGGCAAGCGUUGUCCGGAAUCAUUGGGCGUAAAGAGCGUAUAGGCGGCCCGGUAAGUCCGCUGUGAAAGUCCAGGGCUCAACCCUGGGAUGCCGGUGGAUACUGUCGGGCUCGAGUCCGGAAGAGGAGUGUGGAAUUCCUGGUGUAGCGGUGAAAUGCGCAGAUAUCAGGAGGAACACCGGUGGCGAAGGCGGGUCUCGUGGGCCGAUGACUGACGCUGAGGAGCGAAAGCGUGGGGAGCAAACAGG